rnacentral:lncRNA from 1 species
CAUUCGGUACGGGCUCGACGGCCACCCACUUCUGGCCGCGGAGAACCUGCAAGCCGGAGACGCCGUCUGGGAGCAGUACGGUGAUGGCGUUGGGGUCUUUGUGGCCCGGGAGACCGUAGGUCAGCUCGGGCUGUGGGCAUGGCGGGUAGUAGUUUAUCGCCAUGUGCUGUGCCUGCUUCCCCAUUGCCUUCACCAUGUGAUCCCUUUCUAGUCCCAAGCUCUCCGAUAUCCCCUCCAGUAGUCGCACUGCGAGCGCUCUCGCAUGUUUCGAAUAUUCGCCCACUACUUGCCUGUAGAUGUGACCGGCUAUACAUAAAUAUUUUAUUCCGCAUAUUUUUUUUUAUUUUAAAAAUUUUGUUCAAAGUUUGAUAUUAUAUUCGGACAGUGAAUUAUUUUUUUAGAUAAAAUAAAGGAUUAAUUGCAUACAAUUAUUUGUAAAUAUAGUGAAUUAUAAAUAUAUAUUCUUAUAAAAUUUAACUUUAUUAUAUUAUUUCUAUAAAAGUCCAGUAAUAUUCAUAUUUGUUCCUCUGAUCUGUUACUGUCAGAGUGUCAGAAAUUUAUUUACUUUUUAAUAGUAAAUAAGUGAAAUGUUAAUUUUGUCAUCACAAUAAAAAUAUUUUUGCAGACAUAACAUAAGAAAGCUAAACUUUGUAGGGAUAUAUUUGUAAUUUGUUAUGUUUACAGAAAACUGUAUGCAAUUAAUCGUAAAAUAAAUUACUUUAUUAGUGAAAUAUGCUAUCCAGCCUAGGUAAUAAAAAAUUUUGAGUAAAAAUUGAACUCUUUUUUUCACAACCAUAAUAGAAAAGACACCGAAUCAAACAGGUCCAAAAAUUAGAUUUCGCUUGACUCGUGGUUUUCAGUCUUUAAAUAAAUAAUAUUCUUGGCAGAAAAAUUGUUGGUUUCUUCAUUAAAUCCCCAUUAGUUUCGUUUAAGCUAUAACCUUUCUCCACACUGAAAGAUCCAAAAGCAUCUCUUUAUUAAAAAAAUUAAAACAGAAGAAAUGCAAAGCCUACAAGCCAAAAGAAGUUUCAACUCUUAUCCUAUAGUUUAUAUAAAUUAUUUAAAAAUUUUAGUAUUUAGAAAAAACAAGAAAGUAAAAAAGGAGAAUGAUAUGAUUAGUCUGAAAAAGUUUAGCCUACGAAUGAAUUAAUUAUAAAAUUAUAAUUAAAAAGUGAUUGUAAAUGGAGCGUUACUCUUUAAAACAAAAGGCUUCUGGCCAAGUAUGGUCUGCACCCGUUUUGUUAAUGUUUACCUUAUGCGUUCAAUUCAACCCUGCAACGGCGGUGUUUGGCUUAGCUUUUAAAAAGUAUUUUUGGGUUGAAAAGUGAUUUUCACUUCAAUAAAGCGUUUGGCAACUUUAUUUUUAAAAUCUGAUUCUAUUUUUCAGAAUCAGAAAAAUAAUUUUGAAGGCUCCAGAACCAGAAGCAGAAAAAAGCUGCUUCUUGAAAUCUGAUUCUGAUUUUAGAUUCAAACUUUAAAUUUUUAUUUUAAUUUUAAAUUCAAUAUUUAAAUUUAAAUUUAAUUUUAAAUUUUAAUUUUCAGAUUCAUAUUUGAAUUUGUAAAUUUUAACUUUUAAAUUUUAAAAUUUUAAAAAUAGAUUUCAAACUUUAAAUUUUAAAUUUUAAUUUUAAAUUUCAAAUCUCAAAUUUUAGAUUUUAAAAUUUUAAAUUUCAAAUUUAAGAUUAAAUUUAAAUUUUGAAAUUUUAGAAGUUAAAUUUAAAAUUUUAAAAAUUUUAAAAUUUAAAUUACAAGUUUUAAUCUACAAAUUAUAAAUUUCAAAAUUUUAAAAUUUAAAAUUUUAAAAUUUAUAAUUUGUAGAUUAAAACUUGUAAUUUAAAAAAUUUUAAAUUAUUUUAAAAUAAAAUUUAAUAAAAAUAUUAAUUUAUUUAAACAUAAAAAAAUUUGCAGUUUUUCAAAAUCACUUCUGAAAAAUCGCUUUUAUCUAAACUCAACCAAAUCGAAGUCUUGCCCGACACAACAUUUACAGACUCAAUGUUAUUGACAAGGUCAGGGCCGUUGACAACUAAAAAGGGCCCUGACAGAAAGGCACAAGACUCGACUUGGUCGGGCAUGGCCGGUGAGAGCAAAAUGAUCACCAAGACACUACGCUUUUAGCGAAGCGGGCUUCUGGGAUCCCGAUUUGUGGUCAAGACAGACAAUGUCGCUCUGAGUUACUUUCAGACUCAGAAGAUGCUCACUCCGAAACAGGCGAGAUGGCAAGACUUCCUAGCAGAGUUCGACAUGGUUUUGGAGUACAAGCCAGGACGAUGUAACCAAGUCGCUGACGCUCUCAGCAGAAAGGCCGAACUUGCCGCUUCACUUGUGCUACACAUCCAAGGGGACAUUGGUUUCGCUAACGAUGGCCGCUUAUGAUAGCACAAGUGUACCCGCAGGUAGCCAACCGGAUGCCAAUUUACAUGCAAUGCCCAUCCAAAAUAAGGAAAAUCCUAUGUCGAAGUCUUGCCCGACACAACUUUUAACCAAAAUCAGUUCUCCAAAUCAAAAUCACUUUUUUAGAAAUCACUUUUUCAAAAAUUAGGCCAAACAGACCCAAUAUUUUAUUGGACGAUAAGUAUUAAAAUAUAAACUUAAAUAAAACAACCUAACAGAUUCCCCAGGUACAUAACCAAUUACUCCGGGUUUUGCUGCUAAACACGUAGUCAAUUUGAGUGACACAGAACAAACAGGCUAAGGCACGUACUUGAAAUCUGGAGGAUUGCAGGGCCAUUCACGGAUGAAAUCCUCGAGCGGGUAGCAGUGGAGCCUCAGGAAGUCCCUCCAGUUGCUGACCUUCUCCGUCCGCACGUUGAAGCUCGUCGACAGCCUCGUCGUUCUCGACGGAUCGUCGGAGUAGCACUUCAGCCUCUCUGCCUCCGGUAAGUGAAAGAACUCUCUCGCAACUCGCAGCAUCUCUCUAACAACUUCCUCCGGGAUGCCGUGAUUCUUAACCUGCGUAUUAAACAUACAAUAUAAACCUUAAAAAUAUCAUUCUCUAACAAUUUUAGUAGUUAAAGACAAAUGAUUGUUUUAUAUUAUUUAGAUUAAUACGUGCUUGGCUUAUUUAAAUUAUAGACUAUUUUGAAAUGUCUAUUCAAAAUUUUAAUUUUUUAUUAUUUAAUAUUUUAAUUUAUUUAAUUUGAAUCAAUCAGUAUUACUAUAGCUUUAAAAAUUAAAUUAAUUAAGUACUUUAAUGACUUGUAGCUACGCGAAUUGUAUAAAGCAUGAUACCUUAACUAACCUAAGAGAAUAAACGAUGCAUUAAAGUGCCAUUGACUAGCUCAAAUCAAACAGAUUAAAAAAUUUGAUAGUAAAAUUAAAAUUUUUAAAAUUUAGAUAGCCAUUUUAAAAUGGUCUAUGAUUCAAAUAAGUUUGUACAUAUUUUACCUAUUAUUCAAUACAAUAUUAAAAUAGGAGGUCGUAAAUUCGAUUACCAUAAAGAAUCCAUCAGUUCGGCAUGCGGAGCCGAUUUCUUUGAUUACAUCAGAGCGAGCGGGGCCGAGCAAUCCAUGAAGGUCGAUGAGGGGGACGGAGGUGGAGGAUUCGACAUCGAGGAGGUUUGGGCGGUCGCCGACGGGCCUAAUGUAGUUGGAAGGGACAUGGUUGGAGCUGGAUAUAGCUCGAUCAGUUAGGAGGAGCUUGGACUCUGCUGGUGCCAUGGAGGUAAAAUAACGAUCACUUCUGGGUGGGAAAAAAAAAGCCUAAUUAGUAUGCUAUGCUUCCAACAUGCGAGUUUCGGCUUCCUUUCCGAAAUCAUUCCUAUUUAUAGAUCAUCUGUGCUCCAUGCUUUUGAACAGUCCACAAUAAGUCAAAUUAAAAUAGGAUUUGUCUACGCACUUCAAUCCAUAUAUAUAACCAUUUGUUCCAAUUUGCAAUUUACUUCUAUCUCACGUAAAACAUUUUAUAAAGAUAAAUUAACUAAUAAUGUUAAUUACAUUGAAUAGAAUUAAGUUGGAUAAAUUGCUUCAGUAAAAAACAAAAAUAAAUUUGGUGUUCGAUCUACUAAUUAAGUCGUAACUUAAAUAAGUGUUCACACUCGUAAAGAGCAUUAAUACUACAUCUCCGAUUUCUUUUGGGUAUAAUCUUUUAUCAUUUAAAGACUAAUAAGAUGAAUCUCUAAGCUUAUCCUUUUAUUAUUUUUUUACGAGUAAAGUUUAAAAUAAAUUAUACAAAUUCUUACGGAGGACAGUGCGAACUUAAGCAUUUCGCUUACGUGAUUAAUGACGUAGCUUAUGCGAUGCUUGUGGUGACGCAACUUCUGUGACGUGCGAGACUUGUCCAUCGUUGUGGCCUAUUUGAGAAAUAUAUAUAUAUAUAUAUAUAUAUAUAGUAGGGCUAGAAUACUUGUAAAAGUAUCAUGGGGGUGAUAUUUAUGUGUUUUUAGUCCUUGGAUGGAGAGAUGUGAGGUUGAGAUGAUGGUGGUAGGUGAUGGUAGGUGGUGGUAGGUGGAAUAGUGUUUAAUCCAAGAACUAUUAAUAAUCAAAAAGUAGAUCCAAUGACUUAAAAUCUAAUAGCACCAUGAUGAUAAUACUUGUUAAAGUAUCAUAGCUCAACUCUAUAUAUAUAUAUAUAUAUAUAUAUACUUUUUCUUAUUAUUUUAUUUUAUUUCAUUGUUUUUAUGUUUUUCGUGUCUUGAUAUACGACAGUCGACAGAGCACUAUUUUUCAUGUGAUUUCUGGAACGGGAAAGAUGACGCAAAUAUGCUGACGUCAUACAUGGAUGCCUUGCCAUCGUACGAGUGGUUUAGAUACGAUUACCGAGCUGGUGAGGGAGGCUUUAUCGACAGCUUGUGCCGUCCGGCACCAAUGUUGGUACGAGAUAUUAUGCAAGCGCCAAGCAGCGGAAUAAUUUGUACAAUAAAAUAAUUAUAUAUAAAAAAUAAUUUAUAGUUUAGAAUAAUACUGCAAUAAUUUAAAAAUCGCAUUGACCUGACUUGUUCGACCUACCGUGACCUAAUUUAUACGGCAGGUUAUGUUCGCUCUUUUAAACAGAAUAAGAGCAUAUGCUUGGUUGAUAUAAAGUAAAUAAUAAAAAGUGAAAUUUUUAAAAGGCCAAUUUGUAUAAAAAAUAUACUAACUUUAGACUUUUGCAAAAUUAGACUGUCUUUUUUGAUUUUACAGAUUUAGUCCGAAUUUUCAACAAACUGACCAAAAUACCCUUAUUACUUUUUCUCUCUCAUCUUUGUUUCUUUCGUUCUUUUUUUUUUUCUCUCGCCGAAAAAGUAGCGGAGUCAGGGUAGAGGCGGAGGCGGAAAUGACCCGCCUCGCUUCUCACUCUCAUGCUCUCGCCCUCGCCCUUGCCCUUGCCCACGUACCCUCCACCUUCCUCACCUCCGACCCCACCGAGAUCGUGCCGCACUGCGACUUUUUUUUUCCCCUCUCCGACCCUCCUCCACCGCCUCCGACGACCUCCUCCACCGUUUCUGACGACGACGCCUUUCUCGUCCUUUCCCCGCCCUUCUCGUCUUCUUCCUCUCUCUCAUCCUCUGCCGCAUCCUGAGGAUCAAAAUGGCUACCUAAGAGGGGUGGUGAAUUAGGUUUCUAAAAUAAAAAUCCAAAUAAUCAAGCAAAUUAAAAAACCGAUGCAAAUAAAAGAAAUGCAAACUCGAAAAGCACACGAUCAAUUUGUUUCGAGGUUCGGCAUUUUGCCUACGUCCCCGCCAACUUCUCAACACUCGAGAAUGUUGGAUCUCCACUAGAUGAUGCUUUUGCGGGCAAGCACCAAGCCUUCACAUCAACUCCUUCUUCUUUCAAGCUUCAAGAAUUUGCUUCUCUCUCUUUUUACAAGAUUAAAUCUCACUACAAGUUUUCACUCAAGUUUAGAGAGAGAAUUGAGAGCUAAGAGUAUUAAGAUCACUGAAGUUUUUAAGCUCAAAUAAACUCUCAAGUUGCUACUGAGAGAGGCCUCAAUAUCAUCUAUUUAUAGCCUCGAGCAGCUUCUGUCGGUUGCACUUUCGGGCGCCCUAAACUAUUUUCGGGCACCCAGAAGUUUGUGCAUGCCAGCUGCCUGUCAGCCCACGUGCGUCGUUUUUCUUGACUUUGUAUGUUUGGACCGUCAAAAAUUUGUGGGCGCCCAGAUCUCGAGGAACAGCUUUUCUGACACGCGCAGCUUUUCUUGACUUCGUAAGUUCUGGACCGUCAAAAGUUGUGGGCGCACAGAACACGAGAAACAGCUUUUCUGACAGGUGCCGCUUCCUCUGGAUUUGGGCCGUCAGAAAGUUGUGGGCGCCCAGAUCUCGAGGGACAACUUUUCUGACAUGCGCCGUUUUUCUGGAUUCGAGUCGUCAAAAGUUGUGGGCGCCCAGAAAGUCGUGCUGACUUUCUUGCCAGACAGCCCAGAUUGCGUGCGCCGCUGCUUCCGUAAAAUCUGGGCGCCCAGAUUUUGCGCCGCCUGUUGUCGCAACCUGUCAAGUCAAAUAGUCUUGCUGUUUCUGGAUCACCCGAACAGCAAACAGGCAGGAUCCAAAAGGUCUCAAAAGAUUCGGAUCCACUUUAGGGCGUCCAUAACAGGGUCCAGAAAUUGCAACUUUACAGAACACAGAAUUUGAGCGAUUUUUGAAUAUUUAAAAGUCCUUUUCACCUAAUCAUAAAUUUAGAAAUUUGUUUAAGUGAUCUAUAAGGUGAAUAGUUUAAACUUAACUCAAAGUUUCUCACUCUAAUCAUAAUAUUAAUCAAAUUAAGAAUGAAGAGAGUGAGUUUGUCUAUUUGACAAAAGAAGCAAACACAGCUUCAAGUGGUGAAGCUUGGUACUAGAAUAUUGCCCAUAUUAAAUCCUUUUUGAAGAUAGAGAGAUCUAAAACACAAGACCCAAGAUAAAAGAUUAGUCCAAUAAUCGUGAUUAUUUGUUAUCAUCAAAAUCUAAUAGACGAUUAGGACCACUGGGCCAACACAUCCGACGAGAACGCAUCUUUGUCGACCCCGACACCGUGGAGGUUGCUGCGGAACUGCAGCCUCGAAGCGGGGUGUCCUUAGCGGCGGCGUCGCGGGCGUUGUGGCUAUUGGCAAAGACGGAUGACCAAAAAAAAAUAAAAGAAACAAGAAAAAAAAUAAAAAUAAAAAAUUAUAGAAAAAGAAUGAUGAAAAUGAAAUUGCAUCGUUAACUGCAAAAAAAAAAUAUAAGUUGCACUACUUAAGAUGUAAACUGCAGUUUUAAGAUUAAAAUUAUACUUUUUAAACGAAAAUUAUACUCUAUGGGAGAUAUUUAAACUGUUUCUCCUCUUAUUGCACUCUUUUAGAUGUAAACUAUAUCAAUUAAGAUGAAAGUUAUACUCUUUAAACGAAAGUUGCACUAUUUGAGAGAUAUUUACACUGUUUCUCCUCUUUUUGCACUUUUUGAGAUGUAAACUGCACCCCUUUAUGAGAUAUUUAUACUGUUUGUCCUCUUGUUACACUAUUUCUCCUCUUAUUAUACUGUUUCUCCUCUUAAAGGGUACAGUUUAAGAUAAAAAAUAAUAAGUAAAUUUUUUAUGCAAAUUGAAACAAAGUCGUAAUAAAUUAUUAUUACACUUUUUACUAAUUCUCCUAUUGUUACAUAAUUUUUUACCUUAAACUGGACCCUUUAAGAGGAGAAAUAUUGUAAUAAGAAAAGAAAUAGUACAACAAGAGUAAAAACAGUGUAACAAGAAGAGAAACAGUAUAAAUAUCUCUUAAAAGGGUGCAGUUUACAUCUCAAAGAGUACAAGAAGAGGAGAAACAGUGUAAAUAUUUCUCAAAGAGUGCAACUUUAGUUUAAAAAGAGUAACUUUCAUCUUAAUGGAUACAAUUUAUAUCUAAAAGAGUGCAAUAAGAGGAGAAACAGUGUAAAUAUCUCCCAAAGAGUAUAAUUUUCGUUUAAAAAGUGUAAUUUUCAUCUUAAAGCUCUAGUUUACAUCUUAAGUAGUACAAUUUAUAAUUUUUUUUGCAGCUAACGAUACAAUUUCAUCUUCAUCCUCCUUUUUCCAUAAUUUUUUAUCUUCAUUUUUUUUUCUUGUUUCUUUUAUAAUUUUUUUUGGUGACCCAUCUCUGCCAAUAACCACGGCGCCGGCGACACCGCCGCUAAGAACCCCCUGCUCCGAGGUUGCAGUUCCACAGCAACUUCCACGGUGUCGGCGUAGACGAAAAUGCGUCGUUGUCGGAGGCGGCAGAGGAGGGAGAGUGAGAGGACGAGAAGGAUGAGGAAGGGCGAGAGAGGCGUCGCCGUCGAAAACGGACGGUGGAGGAGAGUCGAAGUGGAAAAAAAAAAAGUCGCGGCUUAACAUUGUCAACAAACUACGAAUAACAUCUGCAGACAUAUAUUCAUAACGAUUUACAGUAAAAGGCAGGUAAAAAAAAAAAAAAAAACAAAGAGUCACGGCGCGGUCUCGGUAGGGUCGGAGGCGAGGAAGGUGGGGGGUGCGUGGGCAAGGAUAAGGGCGAGGGCGAAAGCAUGAGGGUGAGAGGCGAGGCAGACCGUUUUCGCCUCCACCUCUGCUUCCACUACUUUUUUCGACGAAAAAAAAAAGAAAAAAAAAGGAACGAGAGAAACGAAGAGAAGAGAGAAAGAGAAAAGAGAAAAAAUAAUAAGGGUAUUUCUAUUAGUUUGCUAAAAAUUUAAACUGAAUCUGCAAAAUUAAAAAAAACGGUCCAAUUUUAUAAAAAUUUAAAAUUAAUAAAUUUUUUAUGUAAAUUGAUUUUUUUUUUUCUAACACUCUCUCUUUCUCUCUCAUGCCACUUUUUAGUUUAUUUUUCUCCACGCCCUUUUAUUAUGGUACUCCCUCCCUUUAAUAUCUGUGCCGUACCGACAACAACGUUCUUCCUUCACCCUAUAGCGUCAACAAUAUCCCACUAUAUGCACGCACACAUAUUUUUUACCAUCAAUUUUUUUAUUAUUUAAUAAUUUAUAAGCAUCCACAUAUAAAAAAAAUUAAAGAGUUUAAAAUUCUGUUAAUCACUUAUUAAACAAAUCAAAUAGCAAAAAGUGAUAUUCACUUUCUAAAUAACUACUUUCUCUGCAUAAUAUCACCAAUUUUUUUUUUUUCACCAAUCAAGGAUGUCCUAAGUAAAAAUCAUUUCAAAUCAUUCAAACUAGCGUUUCAAUUAUUGAAUCGUGAACCAUAUAGUUUUAAUCAAACUGGUUGUUUUUUUUUAUCAAGUCAUAUAAAAUCCAAUGACUUAAAAUCAACUUAAUUUGGUGGUCCCUUAGUGUUUAGUGGGUGGUUGAAUAAUAUGAUCUAAAUGAUAAAAUUGAUUAAAAUGUAGAUCCAACAACUCAUAUUGGGUCCUUAUCUAAUUAAUAUUUUUUAUGCUAAACAGUAAAAUACUUUCCAAACUUUAGGAUGACAGUAUAUAAAGUUUAUAUACUUUUUAGAUUAUAAAUAGUAAUUUUCUUAUAUUUUCAAAAUAAAAUAAAAAUUUUUAAUCAAAUGUUAUUGUUUUUAGGCAAAAAUAUAUAGAAUUUAUAUGAACUAUGGACCAUUUUAAAUCAAUUAUCCAAUCUCUCAAAAUUUUAAUUUUAUUAUACAAUCUUUUAAUAUGUUUGAUUUAACAUACUCAACAGAAUUUUGACAUUAAUAUUUGAAUUUAUUUUAUCUUUACAGGUUUAGUAAUUUUAACUAAUAUAUUUUGUGCAAUUCUUGCAAUAAUAAAUUUAUUUAAAUCAACUAUUUCUAGCGCAAGUAGUAAAGAGGUUGACCGUUGGUAUCUGAGGUUUCAAAUUGGAAGCUUGAUUACUUUACAUUUCUAGCUAAUUUUAUUAUAAAAUGGGUUUAGCAAGUUUAGUUAGUAUAUUAUACUUAGUGUAAUUUUGGAACUAUAAAUUUAUUUAAAUCAAUCAUUUCUACUGCAAGUAGCAAAGAGGCUAUCGGUUGGUACAUGAGGUUUCAAAUUUAAAAGCUAGUUAUUUAAUGUUUUUAUUUAAUUUUAUUAUAAAAAAUAAACAAAAAAAGUAUGAUAUCUUUCUCUAAAAAAAUUAUAAAUUUAUUAACUAAAAUUUUAAAAUUAAAAAUAUUAUUGAUCGACAGAAAUCAAAUAAAUUAAAAAUUAAAUAGUAAUAUUAAAAUUUUAAAAAUUUAGAAAGUUAAUUUAAAAUGUUUCAUAAUUAAUCCUUAUGUACCUUCCACAUCAGACGUGUAGUACUAGACUACUAGUACAAGCUAGAAGAAGGACGUAAAAUCAUGCACUAGUAGGUGUGUUAGGUGCGUCCCUACGGACUUUUCUUGUUAAAAAAUGCUAUUUGUACCGUGUAAAUUCGUAGAUUAUAUACCUUUCAUUAAAGGCUUUUUGCAAAAAAAAAUUUAUUAAUUUUGAACUUUUACAAAAUUAGAUUAUUAUUUUUAAUUUUGCAGAUUCGAUUCAAAUUUUUAACAAACUAAUCAAAAUACUCUUAUUAUUUUUUCUCUUUUCUCUUUUUUUUUUCCUCGUUCUUUUUUUCUCUCUUCGCUUCUACGCCGUCUCCCGCCUCGCCCUUUGCUACGACCGUCGCUCCGACAGCAUCGGCGAUGCGGCGCUGGCGGCCGUGGCCCUCUGCUGUCCCGCCCUCCAUAAGCUCUCUGUUGCCUCCUGCUCCUACGGCGUCCCGUGCAUCCUCGCCGUCGUACGUAGAUGCCCGCUCCUCAAGGAGCUCUCCCUCAAGAGCCUCCGCGGUCUUGACUGGCCGCUCCUCGUCUUCACUCCGAUCCAUCUGGUUGUGAAUAAUGAAAAGCAAACAAAAAUAUAGAGGAUAGAAAAAAAAAUAAAAAAUAAAAAAAAUAAAAAAAUUCGUCUCUUUGAAAAAUUAUUAUGUAAUGUUACUAUUAUCGGACAAGGCCAAAAUUCAGAUAAAAAGAAAGAAGAAGAGCAAAAAAUCAGAGAAAAAGGAAAAAAAAGAUGAAUGUUGCAUUAUUAAAAUUAAAUUGCACUAUUUUUAAAAAAAAAUUACACUGUUUAAGAUGAAUGUUAUACUCUUUAAAAUAAAAAUUACACCAUUUCACCAAAUUUUAUACUAUUUCACCCAAAAUUGCACCGUUUCUCUUUCUCCUCCUCUUCCUCUUCCUUUUUUUUUUUUACACCAUUACACUAUUACACCAUAACAACAAAAAUCUCCUAAAAACUGAGCCGGAUUUACCUACGCCGCCGACUCGCCCCAUCCCUCCUCCGCCGCCUUCGCCACUCCCGUUCGAGCAUGAGACCGAGCCAGAUUUUUAUUUUUUUAAAAAAAUUAAUUAUUAAAAAAUAUUGAAAAGUAAUAAAGUAUGGUAAGUUAAUUAUGGCCUUUUGUUUGUUCAAAUCACCUAAUUUUAGGCAACACUAGUUGGCCCUAUUCGUGGGCAAAACCUUCAAACAAAACGUUUUGAACAAAUUUUUACAAAAAAUAAAUAUUCGAAAAAUAGAAAAGUUUCAAACUUUUGCUAAGUUGGCAAUCUUAAAUGGAAGGUAGUGAUAGUAUACAAUAUUUAUGCAAAAGCUUAUUUCUAAAUAAAAUAAGCGAAACAAGUAACAUAUUAAUUAUCUAUCUCUCAAAAAAUAUAUAUAUAUUUAUAUAAAAGCUUUCAGUCUAGAAUAAAUAUAUUAUAAAAGAUAUUUCGUUAGCAUUGGCUAUAAUACAAUCCAUCCGCGCCUUCUUCAAGACUAAAUUAUAAAUUUCACCUCAAUCGCGAGUUACACAACAAAUAUGUCGGCCUCAUGUUGUGGUCAUCCAUCAUCAUCAUCAUCAUUAUUAUUAUUAUUGUUAUCUAUUACUCUUUAUGAAUUCCCAAUAUUUUAAGCUGAUGUAUCAUAACCUUCUAAUUUUGAAAUUUUUUUUAUUUAGAAUGAGUCAUUUUAUUCUCCUCUCAACAUACGUUUCUUUAUUUUUUUCAUUUAAUUUUUAUUUAAAAUGAGUCAUUUUACUCUCUCUCUCUCUCUCAAUAUACGUCUCUUCAUCUCCCCCAUUCAAUUUUUAUUUAGAAUGAGCUAUUUUACUCUCUCUCUCUCUCUCUCAACAUAAGUCUCCUUAUCUCUUCCAUUUUUUUCUCUCUCUCAACAUACGUCUCUUCAUCUCUCACAUUUAAUUUUUAUUUAGAAUGAGUUAUUUUACUCCCUCUCUCUCCAUCGUUGGGUUCAUGUCUGCUGCCUACAGUGAGAGACUUUCGGUAGAUAUACCAAAUGAGAUACACAAAAAAAUAUUUAAUAUUUUAUUAUUAUUAAUUAUUAUUACAGUUUCUACCCGCUGCAAAGCGCGGGACUCUUCACUAGUUAUAUAUUAAUUCUCAAUCAAUUUUUGCUGGUGUGGCAGAGGUUAUAUUAAUUCUCAAUCAAUUUUUGCUGAUGUGGCAGAGGUGGGUAUGGUGUGGUGUGGGGCCCAGGCGGAGGAGGAAUUCUACACUGUCACACUUGCACCACGUCAUCAAUAACAAACCAAUCACAUUUCUUCUUUUCAAACAAAAGUACAAUAAAAAUACUUUUUUACAAUCAUGAUGGGACAUAUAUUCUUAAAAGGAUUAACUUGAUUGGUUUGUUACGCCACGUCACUAAUAUACUCGUUGCAUUCUAGAAUUUUUCCAGGCGGAGGGGAGAGUUGGGUGGCCCUUAUUUAUUUAUUUAUUUAUUUUAUUCUGCAUCAACAUGAAUAAUGAAAGAUUUUGAAUUUAUUUUAAUCCAAUCUAUUGACUUUUAAAUAUUUUAGAUUAUGUAUAUUAAAUAUAAAGUUUGAUUUUAUAAUAUUGGUCACUUAUAUAUAAAAUUUAAAAGAUAUAUAAUUUNNNNNNNNNNNNNNNNNNNNNNNNNNNNNNNNNNNNNNNNNNNNNNNNNNNNNNNNNNNNNNNNNNNNNNNNNNNNNNNNNNNNNNNNNNNNNNNNNNNNGCGGUUCCAGAACUUCUCGUAGUACUCUCCGUAAGUGAAACUUCUAUAUCUGAGAGGAUGAUCGUCGUCGACGAGAGCCUCAGCUGGUUCUAUAAGCGCGUCCGGAGAUGGACAGUAGAAGGUCGGGACGGAGAUCCUCUCGCUUUUGGUGUUUACGAUCACGCGGUGAAGUACGCUCUUGUAGCGGUCAUUGCUGAGCACCUGCGAAAGACGGAAAGAGAUGCUUUGUUGGUGUUUGAUUCAGCACAGAAAGACGGAAAGAAAUGCUUUGUUGGUGUUUGCUUCAUCGCAGAACGGAACGAAGGUCUGAUGAAGACUGUUCAUGUCCAUGUUACUUGCCUGUAUUUGAUCGCCCAUGUUGAUGAUUAAUGCAUUCGGUACGGGCUCGACGGCCACCCACUUCUGGCUGCGGAGAACCUGCAAGCCGGAGACGCUGUCUGGGAGAAGUACGGUGAUGGCGUUGGGGUCUUUGUGGCCCGGGAGACCGUAGGUCAGCUCGGGCUGUGGGCACGGCGGGUAGUAGUUUAUCGCCAUGUGCUGUGCCUGCUUCCCCAUUGCCUUCACCAUGUGAUCCCUUUCUAGUCCCAAGCUCUCCGAUAUCCCCUCCAGUAGUCGCACUGCGAGCGCUCUCGCAUGUUUCGAAUAUUCGCCCACUACUUGCCUGUAGAUGUGACCGGCUAUACAUAAAUAUUUUAUUCCGCA